rnacentral:rRNA from 1 species
GACGAACCGUGCAAACGUUGUUCGGAAUUACUGGGCGUAAAGGGCGCGUAGGCGGUUCGUUAAGUCCUGUGUGAAAUCCCCCGGCUCAACUGGGGAACUGCACAGGAAACUAGCGGGCUUGAGUUCGGGAGAGGGAAGCGGAAUUCCGGGUGUAGCGGUGAAAUGCGUAGAUAUCCGGAGGAACACCGGUGGCGAAGGCGGCUUCCUGGACCGACACUGACGCUGAGGCGCGAAAGCUAGGGGAGCAAACGGG